rnacentral:rRNA from 1 species
GAUGGACGCUGGCGGCGUGCCUAAUACAUGCAAGUCGAGCGAACAGACGAGGAGCUUGCUCCUCUGACGUUAGCGGCGGACGGGUGAGUAACACGUGGAUAACCUACCUAUAAGACUGGGAUAACUUCGGGAAACCGGAGCUAAUACCGGAUAAUAUAUUGAACCGCAUGGUUCAAUAGUGAAAGACGGUUUUGCUGUCACUUAUAGAUGGAUCCGCGCCGCAUUAGCUAGUUGGUAAGGUAACGGCUUACCAAGGCAACGAUGCGUAGCCGACCUGAGAGGGUGAUCGGCCACACUGGAACUGAGACACGGUCCAGACUCCUACGGGAGGCAGCAGUAGGGAAUCUUCCGCAAUGGGCGAAAGCCUGACGGAGCAACGCCGCGUGAGUGAUGAAGGUCUUCGGAUCGUAAAACUCUGUUAUUAGGGAAGAACAGAUGUGUAAGUAACUAUGCACGUCUUGACGGUACCUAAUCAGAAAGCCACGGCUAACUACGUG